rnacentral:rRNA from 1 species
AUUGAACGCUGGCGGCAGGCCUAAUACAUGCAAGUCGAACGAGUGGCGGACGGGUGAGUAAUGUCUGGGAAACUGCCAGAUGGAGGGGGAUAACUACUGGAAACGGUAGCUAAUACCGCAUACCAUCGGAUGUGCCAAGAUGGGAUUGGCGAUUCGGUGGGGUACCGGCUCACCUAGGCGACGAUCCCUAGCUGGUCUGAGAGGAUGACCAGCCACACGGGAACUGAGACACGGUCCAGAAUCCUACGGGAGGCAGCAGUGGGGAAUAUUGCACAAUGGGCGCAAGCCGGAUGCAGCCAUGCCGCGUGUAUGAAGAAGGCCUUCGGGUUGUAAAGUACUUUCAGCGAGGAGGCGUUACUCGCAGAAGAAGCACCGGCUAACUCCGUGCCAGCAGCCGCGGUAAUAC